rnacentral:rRNA from 1 species
AUUGAACGCUGGCGGCAUGCCUUACACAUGCAAGUCGAACGGCAGCAUGGAGAGCUUGCUCUCUGAUGGCGAGUGGCGAACGGGUGAGUAAAGCAUCGGAACGUACCGUGUAGUGGGGGAUAACGUAGCGAAAGUUACGCUAAUACCGCAUACGCACUGAGGUGGAAAGCAGGGGAUCGUAAGACCUUGCGCUAUACGAGCGGCCGAUGUCAGAUUAGCUAGUUGGUAGGGUAAAGGCCUACCAAGGCGACGAUCUGUAGCGGGUCUGAGAGGAUGAUCCGCCACACUGGGACUGAGACACGGCCCAGACUCCUACGGGAGGCAGCAGUGGGGAAUUUUGGACAAUGGGGGCAACCCUGAUCCAGCCAUGCCGCGUGAGUGAAGAAGGCCUUCGGGUUGUAAAGCUCUUUUGUCAGGGAAGAAACAGCAGCUCUAAUACAGUAUGCGAAUGACGGUACCUGAAGAAUAAGCACCGGCUAACUACGUGCCAGCAGCCGCAGUAA